GCCGGGCACAGUGGCACAUGCCUGUAAUCCCAGUGGCUUGGGAGGCCGAGGCAGAAGGAUCACAAGUUCAAAGCCAGCCUCAGCAAAAACGAGGUGCCAAGCAACUUAGUGAGACCCUGUCUCUA
rnacentral:sRNA from 1 species